GCCUGGGUGGCUCAGUCGGUUGAGUGUCUGACUUCAGCUCAGGUCAUGAUCUCAUGGUUCAUGGGUUCGAGCCCCAUGUUGGGCU
rnacentral:tRNA from 1 species